rnacentral:rRNA from 1 species
CCUGGUUGAUCCUGCCAGUGGUCAUAUGCUUGUCUCAAAGAUUAAGCCAUGCAUGUUUAAGCAGAAGCCGCACAACGGUAAAGCCGCGAAUGGCUCAUUACAACAGCCGUCGUUUCUUGGAUCUCUAAUUUUACUUGGAUAACUGUGGUAAUUCUAGAGCUAAUACACGCACUAAAGCUCUGACCUUACGGAACGAGCGCAUUUAUUAGAACAAAACCAAUCGGGUUUCGGCCCGUUCGUUGGUGACUCUGAAUAACUCUGCCGAUCGCACGGUCUCGCACCGGCGACGUAUCUUUCAAGUGUCUGCCUUAUCAACUUUCGAUGGUAGUUUAUGUGCCUACCAUGGUUGUAACGGGUAACGGAGAAUAAGGGUUCGACUCCGGAGAGGGAGCCUGAGAAACGGCUACCACAUCCAAGGAAGGCAGCAGGCGCGCAAAUUACCCACUCUCGGCACGAGGAGGUAGUGACGAAAAAUAACGAGACGGAUCUCUUUGAGGCCCGUUAUCGGAAUGAGAACAAUUCAAAUCCUUUAACGAGGAUCUAGCGGAGGGCAAGUCUGGUGCCAGCAGCCGCGGUAAUUCCAGCUCCGCAGGUGUAUAUCUAUGCUGCUGCGGUUAAAAGCUCGUAGUUGGAUCUGCGUGCUCGGAACUGGUUGGCUCACUGAGUUCAAACUGGUCUCCGGCGCUUUAUUGGCUGGUUUUCCCUUGAUGCUCUUAACCGGGUGUCUUGGGUGGCUAGCACGUUUACUUUGAAAAAAUUAGAGUGCUCAAUACAGGCGUAAAGCCUUGAAUAGUGGUGCAUGGAAUAAUAGAAUAGGACCUCGGCUCUAUUUUGUUGGUUUUCGGAACGCGAGGUAAUGAUUAAGAGGGACAGACGGGGGCAUUCGUAUUGCGACGUUAGAGGUGAAAUUCUUGGAUCGUCGCAAGACGGACGACUGCGAAAGCAUUUGCCAAGAAUGUUUUCAUUAAUCAAGAACGAAAGUUAGAGGUUCGAAGGCGAUCAGAUACCGCCCUAGUUCUAACCGUAAACGAUGCCAACUAGCGAUUCGCAGGCGUUAAACAGCGACCUUGCGGGCAGCUUCCCGGAAACGAAAGUGUUCGGGUUCCGGGGGAAGUAUGGUUGCAAAGCUGAAACUUAAAGGAAUUGACGGAAGGGCACCACCAGGAGUGGAGCCUGCGGCUUAAUUUGACCCAACACGGGAAAACUCACCCGGCCCGGACACCGUAAGGAUUACAGAUUGAGAGCUCUUUCUUGAUUCGGUGGGUGGUGGUGCAUGGCCGUUCUUAGUUGGUGGAGCGAUUUGUCUGGUUUAUUCCGAUAACGAACGAGACUCUGGCCUACUAAAUAGUGGGCGG